rnacentral:rRNA from 1 species
UACGGAGGGUGCAAGCGUUAAUCGGAAUUACUGGGCGUAAAGCGUGCGUAGGCGGUUUGUUAAGUUGGAUGUGAAAGCCCCGGGCUCAACCUGGGAACUGCAUUCAAAACUGACAGGCUUGAGUAUGGUAGAGGGUGGUGGAAUUUCCUGUGUAGCGGUGAAAUGCGUAGAUAUAGGAAGGAACACCAGUGGCGAAGGCGGCCAACUGGACUGAUACUGACACUGAGGUGCGAAAGCGUGGGGAGCAAACAGG